rnacentral:rRNA from 1 species
GAAGUUUUCAGAGAUGAGAAUGUGCCUUCGGGAACCGUGAGACAGGUGCUGCAUGGCUGUCGUCAGCUCGUGUUGUGAAAUGUUGGGUUAAGUCCCGCAACGAGCGCAACCCUUAUCCUUUGUUGCCAGCGGUCCGGCCGGGAACUCAAAGGAGACUGCCAGUGAUAAACUGGAGGAAGGUGGGGAUGACGUCAAGUCAUCAUGGCCCUUACGACCAGGGCUACACACGUGCUACAAUGGCGCAUACAAAGAGAAGCGACCUCGCGAGAGCAAGCGGACCUCAUAAAGUGCGUCGUAGUCCGGAUUGGAGUCUGCAACUCGACUCCAUGAAGUCGGAAUCGCUAGUAAUCGUGGAUCAGAAUGCUACGGUGAAUACGUUCCCGGGCCUUGUACACACCGCCCGUCACACCAUGGGAGUGGGUUGCAAAAGAAGUAGGUAGCUUAACCUUCGGGAGGGCGCUUACCACUUUGUGAUUCAUGACUGGGGUGAAGUCGUAACAAGGUAACCGUAGGGGAACCUGCGGUUGGAUCACCUCCUUACCUUAAAGAA